GACGGAGGGUGCAAGCGUUGUUCGGAAUUACUGGGCGUAAAGCGCGUGUAGGCGGUCCGAUAAGUCGAGUGUGAAAGCCCGAGGCCCAACCUCGGAAGUGCAUUCGAAACUGUCGGGCUUGAGUACGGGAGAGGGAAGUGGAAUUCCUGGUGUAGAGGUGAAAUUCGUAGAUAUCAGGAGGAACACCGGUGGCGAAGGCGGCUUCCUGGACCGAUACUGACGCUGAGACGCGAAAGCGUGGGGAGCAAACAGG
rnacentral:rRNA from 1 species